AAGGUGUAAUUUAUGAUAAUGAAGCACAAAAUCAAUCUCUGUUCAGUUCGUGAAAUUAAAUAUUACUUGAAAAUAAAAUGCAUGAAUUGAUGUACUGUGUAGAAGGUUGGUCUGCUGAGCCACAAAUGGAAAAUUGUUUCUUUCAAUGCUUAAAAGUGGAAGGUGGUGUUUUGGAAACAUUCCUUCCUAUUAGUCUGUCAUAAACCAAGUACUACAUGUUUUUGAACUAACUUUUUGCUGUUUCCUUAAUGCUGGCCGAUUAGCAUUCACUCCCUACGACACUCAAUUAGCAUGCCUGCUAUGAGAAAUUCACCAACUUUCAAGUCAUUUGAAGAUAGAGUUGAAAGCUUAAAGUCUAAAGUUGCAGGCAACAAGGAAGGAGGUGGCGAUUUUGGGAAUGUUCUAAACUCUGCAGCGAAUGCAAGUGCCACAGAGGCCAUUACAGAAGAGGUUUCAGAUGUUCAAGAAGCUCAUUAAAAUGCUGCUUUAAAUCCAGCUCUUUGACACAGUAUAAAUCAAGCAAAUGGUACUAGUUACAAAUAAUGGCUUUCUUCCAUUAGUUGUGUGUCUGUCUCACGACAUUGGAUCUUGUAUUUAACAGCUCACAAGAUCUGACCAGCCCCUGGAUUACUACACUUUGAAUUUGGCAUUUAAUAUAAAAUUACUUUGGUCCUCAACAGCACAAAUUGCUUUGUGGUGAAAAUACUUGGCUUAAUGACUGUGUGUCCCAAACUCUUGCUCCAUGUUAUACCAAUGAAACUGUCUUGAUUGGAAUAGCAAAUUGAAGUACAUAAAACUUCCAUACCUGUUUUUUUUCCAAAGAAAAUUAUUUCAAACUAUUAAAAUGGACAGCAUGGGUUUGUUGACAAACAUGCAAGCUAUGACUCAGCUCAAUGUGAAUGUGUAUCUUUUGUUAGAUAACUCUGAAAUUAGAUGCCUCUUAAAUACAAUGUGAAAGCUUUUUUUAUUUGCUUUUCAAGAUGUUAUUUGUUCAAGCUAUAAGGUAACAAGACAUCUUUGUAGGAAAUUGCCAUAAUUUGAAUGGAAGCUUUCAUUCAUUAGCAUUCUCUUCAGAUGUGGAAUUCAGUAUAUGUUGACUUUUUUUUGGCUAUUAAAAUAAAAGCCUACUCAUCAGAUUUUCACUUUAGUACCUGGCAAAGUAUUUUCUUGCAUAAGUGCUCAGUUUUGUGACUUAAAUCUGUUUAUAUCUGAGGUGGUUGUAAAAUGUACACUGACUCCUCAUUUUAAUGCAUGUUGGCAGUUAGCAACAUUUAAGGUUCAGAAUUUUGGGUCUGAGUUUUGAUGACCAAAUGAAUGGAUGGCAUUGAUUAAAAGAUGUUGCAUUAGUGCAUAUUUGAAAUAUUUGAGGUUCAAGUUUAAUGUUAACAUUGUACAAGGGUAAUUUUGGUUUUUGUUCACUUGGCUGGGUAAAAUGCUGUACAGUCCCAGCUGUCUUGAUAUGUUUUAAAAAAAAAAACUUUUAAUAAAGAUUGCUGAUGAUAAAAA